UCCCCCUGGUGAAGUUUCCUAUCUUUUGGGGGACCUGCGCGGAACCAUGUAGGCCACUGGGGAAAUUGCUCGCG